AUUGAACGCUGGCGGCAGGCCUAACACAUGCAAGUCGAACGAGUGGCGGACGGGUGGGUAAUGUCUGGGAAACUGCCCGAUGGAGGGGGAUAACUAACGGAAACGGUAGAUAAUACCGCAUACCAUCGGAUGUGCCCAGAUGGGAAUUGCAAGUAGGUGGGGUAAAGGCUCACCUAGGCGACGAUCCCUCGCUGGUCUGAGAGGAUGACCAGCCCUCGUGGAACUGUGACACGGUCCAGACUCCUACGGGGGGCAGCAGUGGUGAAUAUUGCACAAGGGGCGCAAGCCUGAUGCAGCCAUGCCGCGUGUAUGAAGAAGGCCUUAGGGUUGUAAAGUACUUUCAGCGGGGAGGCGUUACCCACAGAAGAAGCACCGGCUAACUCCGUGCCAGCCGCCGCGGUAAUUC
rnacentral:rRNA from 1 species